GGAGUGUUGCGAUAGUGGUUAUUCGGCGGGACUUGAAUAAAACAUCGUGACUUAUUGAUCCCGUGCCGUCAGGCUCACAGGUUCGAACCCUGUAUGCUCCG
rnacentral:tRNA from 1 species